rnacentral:rRNA from 1 species
AUUGAACGCUGGCGGCAUGCCUUACACAUGCAAGUCGAACGGUAACAGGCCGCAAGGUGCUGACGAGUGGCGAACGGGUGAGUAAUGCAUCGGAACGUGCCCAGUUGUGGGGGAUAACUGCUCGAAAGAGCAGCUAAUACCGCAUACGACCUGAGGGUGAAAGCGGGGGAUCGCAAGACCUCGCGCAAUUCGAGCGGCCGAUGUCAGAUUAGGUAGUUGGUGGGGUAAAGGCCUACCAAGCCGACGAUCUGUAGUUGGUCUGAGAGGACGACCAGCCACACUGGGACUGAGACACGGCCCAGACUCCUACGGGAGGCAGCAGUGGGGAAUUUUGGACAAUGGGCGCAAGUCUGAUCCAGCAAUGCCGCGUGCAGGAAGAAGGCCUUCGGGUUGUAAACUGCUUUUGUCAGGGAAGAAAUCCUCUGGGUUAAUACCCCGGGGGGAUGACGGUACCUGAAGAAUAAGCACCGGCUAACUACGUGCCAGCCGCCGCCGUAA